GUAAAAGUAGUGUAAGGGUUCUCAUGGGCAUCUAGUUCACCACAGCAAGAACAGGAUGCUGAGCUAUAUGGGCCACUGGACUGAUCCAUAAAGUUCUUACGUUCCUGUGCUCCCCUCACACAAUUGUUAAUAGCUUGGAAGCCAUCACCUGGAGUCUGCAACAUCCCCACAUGCAGACAAGCCAACAAAUUCUCAGAAGAAGAACAAAUAUCAUCAAAAAAAUAUGUCCAUACAAAUAAAUUACAGAGGGGCCUUCCUUACUAGUACCGAUUCCAUUACUCAUGCUACUUUGCUCAGCAAUUUUAAGUCCUCAUCUGGAUACUUUGUUCAGGCCUGGGCCUCCCAUUUGAACUUUGAAAGGGUUAAGAGAAAAGAAAACUUACAAAAAUGACGAGAUUUUGAAGAGAAAGACUGAGGGAACUCAGGAUAUUUACCUCAUAGGAAAUAAACAGAUGGGAGUUGUGAGUGGAGAGAGGAAAGGCACAUCGGCAAUUCCCCAAAUUUUGGAAAUGCUAUUAGAAAGCAAAUGGAGAGGAAAACAUUCAUUUAUACAGGACAGCUCCAUGUGAGAUUAUAUUUGUGUGUAUUGUUCAGCUGAAUGGAUCUUACACCCAAAUAAAUAUGCAUAUGUGUCUACUCAGAGGUAAGGCUCAUUGAGUUCAAUGGAGCAUAGUGCCGGGCAAAUGAGUAUCAUAUAGAAUUGCAGCCUAAAAUACUCAGUUAAAAAUCAUUAAGGGUGUUAAACUAUUUCUAAACCUCAUUUAGAAGUAGUAAAAUGGAAUUACAGUGGUGCCUCGCAAGACGAAAUUAAUCCGUUCCGCGAGUCUCUUCGUCUAGCGGUUUUUUCGUCUUGCGAAGCAACCCUAUUAGCGGCUUAGCGGAUUAGCGCUAUUAGCGGUUUAGCGGCUAUUAAAGGCUUAGCGGUUUAGCGGCUAAAAGGCUAUUAGCGGCUUAGCAGCUUAGAAAAAGGGGGGGAGCGAAAAAAAUCUCAAGACUCGAAAGACAUUUUCGUCUUGCGAAGCAAGCCCAUAGGGAAAUUCGUCCUGCAAAGUGCAUCGAAAAACGGAAAACCCUUUCGUCUAGCGGGUUUUUUGUCUUGCGAGGCAUUCGUCUUGCGGGGCACCACUGUAUAAUGCUUAGCUCUCAACUUUACACUAGGGUUGCCAUAUUUCAAAAAGCUGUGUGUGUGUGUGUGUGUGUGUUGUUGCACCUGUGCAAUAAGGCAGCUUGCCUUCUCAUUUGUGCCAAAAGUUGCCCUUUGCUGUUGAAAACCAAACACCAUAACCAACUUUGAUACUACAGCUUUGUAAAUACAGAAUACCUAUUAACUCUUUUUCAUGUGCCCUUUCAAAAUAAGUUUAUAAAAUAUAUGUUGUUGAUGGAAACUGUUAGGGCACAUCCUGCCAAUUUGAUAUUGUGAGCGGGCUUUCUGGGUUAGCAUUGCCCCCAAAUCUCUCGAAUCUUAAAUGCAGAGAGUAGUACUUGAGAAUAUUUUGCCCCUGUUUGUAGGGCAGUCCUUUUCCAUCUCUCAGGUGACCGACUGCCUUGCUUGGAAGCUACCAGGACACUGAGCUGCAAGCCCCAAAGGAACAGCAGACAAACAGAGUCAGGUCAGUUUUCUUGUUUCAAGUCACUUUUUCUUUGACAUCCAACCCCUCUCAUGUUCUUUCCCUUUUUCUCUCUUUUUACAGCUUCUCAGCUGCCUUUUGACUUUCUCUUCUGUUCUUCUGUAUACCUGAGCCUCUUUCCCAGUCUCCUUGUCUGUCUUCACCUUCCAAGGUGCAGAACUGGUGUUUCGUAGCAAUCUCUUUUUCCCAAAAGUAAACCUCUUAGAAUUCGUGGUGGAGCUGAGAAAAAUAG